AUACGGUGAAUACGUUCCCGGACCUUGUACACACCGCCCGUCAAGCCUUGGAAGCCGGGUGUACCUAAAGUCGAUAACCGCAAGGAGUCGCCUAGGGUAAAACUGGUAACUGGGGCU
rnacentral:rRNA from 1 species